rnacentral:rRNA from 1 species
UACAGAGGUCUCAAGCGUUGUUCGGAUUCAUUGGGCGUAAAGGGUGCGUAGGUGGCGCUGUAAGUCGGGUGUGAAAUUUCGGAGCUUAACUCCGAAACUGCAUUCGAUACUGCGGUGCUUGAGGACUGGAGAGGAGACUGGAAUUCAUGGUGUAGCAGUGAAAUGCGUAGAGAAUCAUGAGGAAGACCAGUGGCGAAGGCGGGUCUCUGGACAAGUUCCUGACACUGAGGCACGAAGGCCAGGGGAGCAAACGGG